CUGCAGUCUGGCGUUUGGCAUUUUGGCUUGGUCUAUGAAGACUACAGAUUUCUGUGGAAGAUCAAAAUACCUCCUAAAAUCAGAAUGUUCCUUUGGUUGGUGCUGAGGGAAAGCAUUUUAAUUAGAGACUUCUGCUGAAUAGGGGUGGAAAAUGUGAAUCGGGUUGUCUUUUCUGUGGCCACAAAGACUCGAUAAAUCAUCUGUUUUGCUUAGUACAUUUGGAAUGUGAUCCAGUGUAGUCUGGGGGUUGAAUGUAGGUUCACAGAUGCAAAAGCCUGUUUUAAUGGAUGGCUUAAAGGGAUGCACUCCCAGUGGGUGUAGCAGCUGUUCUCUGGGGGAUUUGGAAAGCGAGGAACUUGGCGUGCUUUAAUCAUAAAUGGCCUGUUGAUCUGUCUAUUGUUAUGUUUCGAGUUGCCUAUUGGAUUACUGACUGGAGUGUCUUGCAGGUGUCGGAGGACGCAAAACUGUUACUUCUGGAGCAAGUCGCGGCUGAAGUUUAUGGCGUCAAAAGAAGCUGGGCGAUGGGAGCUGAUGCUGGGAUUGUGAUGUCUUAGGAUUGUGUUUGGGCUGCGUUAAUUUUUGUUAGUGUUCAUGUUGUGUUUCCGUCCUUGUUAGACUUUCCGGCUAUCGGCAUGUUGCUGGAGUUAAUUUCCUAGGCUGCUGUUCAACUAGGGUCUAUCUUCUCCCCUGGGUCGGUUCGAUCUCAGGGUCACUACACCACGGUUGUUAAUUGAAGGCAUUUUUCUAAGGGCAGUUUGUAAAUGCCUCAAAUUCGCGCUCAAAGGUGGCGUUUUAGGAAAAUGCCUCGGAUUGAUGCAGCUUUGGAGGCGUUCUAGAAAAGUGCCUCGGUUGAUCCAGCUUUUGGAGGCACUUUUGGAAAGCGCCUUGG
rnacentral:lncRNA from 1 species